rnacentral:rRNA from 1 species
UGCUGGCACGGAAUUAGCCGUCCCUUUCUGGUUAAGUACCGUCACAGUAUGAACUUUCCAUUCUCACACUCGUUCUUCCUUAACAACAGAGCUUUACGAUCCGAAAACCUUCUUCACUCACGCGGCGUUGCUCGGUCAGGGUUCCCCCCAUUGCCGAAGAUUCCCUACUGCUGCCUCCCGUAGGAGUCUGGGCCGUGUCUCAGUCCCAGUGUGGCCGAUCACCCUCUCAGGUCGGCUAUGUAUCGUCGCCUAGGUGAGCCGUUACCUCACCUACUAGCUAAUACAACGCAGGUCCAUCUGGUAGUGAUGCAUUUGCACCUUUUAAACAUCUACCAUGCAGUAAAUGUUCUUAUGCGGUAUUAGCUAUCGUUUCCAAUAGUUAUCCCCCGCUACCAGGCAGGUUACCUACGCGUUACUCACCCGUUCGCAACUCACAGAAUACGGUGUAGUAAACUACGGUGCAUCCUGUGCGUUCUACUUGCAUGUAUUAGGCACGCCGCCAGCGUUCGUCCUGAGCCAGGAUCAAACCCUG